ACAUAAAUAUAUAAAAGUAUAUCUAUACAGAAUAAAUUUUAGCUCAGUCAGUGGCCAAAUUUGGACAUUUUUAAGUUAGUUGUCAGAGUAAUAAAUCAUUAAAAAACUUUUUUAGUCAAUAGAGGUAUUUUAGUGGACAAAUAUUCAGUGGUAUAAAAUUUUUUCCAAGUCUCCCUUGUAAACAUUUUCAAAACAUGACAGCUAUGUGUAUACACAUAAAAACUAUAUAUUCAUACAUAUUUGGUUAUUUUGGUCAACUUGUGUUCAUGCAAUGAAAGCUACCUAUAAUAAUUUUUCAAUCAUUGACUCCUGCAACAAACUUAGACUUAAAAGAGUUAAAGUAACUGGAGGUCAUUAAAUUUUACAAUAAAGAAGUAUGUGCAGGAUUUAAUUUCACGACUAAAGAGGACUCCGAAGAAGAAUUAAUGUUCUGAUGGAUCAAAGAUCGAGGAAUGAUUUGGUUUUAACUGGUUUGUAUCUUAUGAACGAAGUACAUAAUAUGAUUUAAAUUGAUGAUUUAUAGUUACACCUAUUGAAAUUAUGUAUCUCAAUGAUAUCCUGGCUUAUCGAUACGAUAUCCUGUAAAUCCACUCACACACUUAAAUUUUACUCGCAUACGUAAAUCCUGUAAAUUCACUCACAAACAUAAAUCUUAAAAAAGAUUUUAUAUUUUUAUCUAUAAAUUGUAAAUUUUAUAUAAAUAAAUUGUAUAUUUUUUAUGUUUUUUAUUGUAUAUUACUAUUUGUAUUAAAAAUCGACUUUGGAA